CAGCCGCCGCGGUAAUACGAAGGGUGCAAGCGUUACUCGGAAUUACUGGGCGUAAAGCGUGCGUAGGUGGUGGCUUAAGUCCGUUGUGAAAGCCCUGGGCUCAACCUGGGAAUUGCAGUGGAUACUGGGUCACUAGAGUGUGGUAGAGGGUGGCGGAAUUCCCGGUGUAGCAGUGAAAUGCGUAGAGAUCGGGAGGAACACCCGUGGCGAAGGCGGCCACCUGGGCCAACACUGACACUGAGGCACGAAAGCGUGGGGAGCAAACAGGAUUAGAUACCCCAGUAGUCCCUGUCUCUUAUAC
rnacentral:rRNA from 1 species